rnacentral:rRNA from 1 species
GCUUGUCUCAAAGAUUAAGCCAUGCAUGUCUAAGUAUAAACGACUUUAUACAGUGAAACUGCGAAUGGCUCAUUAAAUCAGUUAUAGUUUAUUUGAUAAUACCUUACUACUUGGAUAACCGUGGUAAUUCUAGAGCUAAUACGUGCACCAAGUCCCGACUCUUGAAGGGAUGUAUUUAUUAGAUUAAAGACCAAUGCGGGCUUGCCCGGUAUUGUGGUGAAUCAUAAUAACUUUCGGAUCGAUUUAUCGAUGCAUCAUUCAAGUUUCUGCCCUAUCAGCUUUGGAUGGUAGGGUAUUGGCCUACCAUGGCUUUAACGGGUAACGGAGAAUUAGGGUUCGAUUCCGGAGAGGGAGCCUGAGAAAUGGCUACCACAUCCAAGGAAGGCAGCAGG